rnacentral:rRNA from 1 species
GAGAUGGACAACAGGUUGAAAAUCCUGUACCGCAGGAGUCUGUUUGAGCGAAGGAGUGACACAGAAAGGAAUGCGCGCGUGCGAUUGGAAGAGCACGUCCAAGCUGGUAGGUUGUGUGGCAGGCAAAUCCGCCAUACUAAAAGCCGAGAAGUGAUGGGGAGCCAUUGGAGACAAUGGCGAAGGGGCAGGAACUAGGCUGUCGAGAAAAGCUUCUAGUGAGGACUCAGGCGCCCGUACCGAAACCGACACA